GGAAGUAAAAGUCGUAACAAGAUUUCCGUAGGUGAGCCUGCGGAAGGAUCAUUACAGAGUUCAUGCCCUCACGGGUAGAUCUCCCACCCUUGAAUAUUUAUACCUUAGUUGCUUUGGCAGGCCGUGGAAACACCAUGGGCUCCGGCUUAUGCGUGCCUGCCAGAGGAAACAAACUCUGUUUUUAGUGAUGUCUGAGUACUAUAUAAUAGUUAAAACUUUCAACAACGGAUCUCUUGGUUCUG
rnacentral:misc_RNA from 1 species